rnacentral:rRNA from 1 species
GAUGAACGCUGGCGGCGUGCCUAAUACAUGCAAGUCGAGCGAACAGACGAGGAGCUUGCUCCUCUGACGUUAGCGGCGGACGGGUGAGUAACACGUGGAUAACCUACCUAUAAGACUGGGAUAACUUCGGGAAACCGGAGCUAAUACCGGAUAACAUGUUGAACCGCAUGGUUCAACAGUGAAAGGCGGUUUUGCUGUCACUUAUAGAUGGAUCCGCGUCGCAUUAGUUAGUUGGUAAGGUAACGGCUUACCAAGGCAACGAUGCGUAGCCGACCUGAGAGGGUGAUCGGCCACACUGGAACUGAGACACGGUCCAGACUCCUACGGGAGGCAGCAGUAGGGAAUCUUCCGCAAUGGGCGAAAGCCUGACGGAGCAACGCCGCGUGAGUGAAGAAGGUCUUCGGAUCGUAAAACUCUGUUAUUAGGGAAGAACAAAUGUGUAAGUAACUAUGCACGUCUUGACGGUACCUAAUCAGAAAGCCACGGCUAACUACGUG